UUCUUNANNNNNANCGGCCAAACAUCAACCUAAUUUUUUAACUCUUUGUCUGAAAAAUAUUAUGAAUAAAAAUAAUUCAAAAUACAACUUUCAACAACGGAUCUCUUGGCUCUCGCAUCGAUGAAGAACGCAGCGAAAUGCGAUACGUAAUGUGAAUUGCAGAAUUCAGUGAAUCAUCGAAUCUUUGAACGCAUAUUGCGCUCUUUGGUAUUCCGAAGAGCAUGCUUGUUUGAGUAUCAGUAAACACCUCAAAACUUUUUUUUAUUUUUGAAAAACAGUUUUGGACUUGAGCAAUCCCAACACCAAUCUUUUUUAGAUCGGUGGCGGGUUGCUUGAAAUGCAGGUGCAGCUGGACAUUCUCCUGAGCUAAAAGCAUAUUUAUUUAGUCCCGUCAAACGGAUUAUUACUUUUGCUGCAGCUAAUAUAAAGGGAGUUUGACCGUUUUGGCUGACUGAUGCAGGAUUUCACAAGGGUCGGCAACGAUUCUUGUAAAACUCGAUCUCAAAUCAAGUAAGACUACCCGCUGAACUUAAGCAUAUCAAUAAGCGGAGGAA
rnacentral:rRNA from 1 species